rnacentral:rRNA from 1 species
UACGUAGGUGGCAAGCGUUGUCCGGAAUUACUGGGCGUAAAGGGCGUGUAGGCGGCCUUUUAAGUCAGACGUGAAAACCCUGGGCCUAACCCAGGACCUGCGUUUGAUACUGAAGGGCUUGAGGACCGGAGAGGACAGUGGAAUUCCCAGUGUAGCGGUGAAAUGCGUAGAUAUUGGGAGGAACACCAGUGGCGAAGGCGGCUCACUGGCCCGGUACUGACGCUGAGGUGCGAAAGCGUGGGGAGCAAACAGG